CCUCCCUCCUUUCCUCCUCCUCCUCCCUCUCCUCCCACAAAGCUUUGCAGGAGAGCUACAAUCAAAUUUAGGACUUUUUUCACGUUUGGGCGCCAUUUUCGAUUGGACUGGAGGAUAUCUCAGGCCUGUUCCAAAGCCUCUCUGCUUCUCCUUGAGUUCUCCUGCUUUUCUUUUCUUUUUUUUCUGGCACAUCUGAAAUCUUGAAGUUCACUGCUGUGGAGUUGUAGCUGCAGGAUCUUGGAGUUCAAGUCUGAGGCUGCUGAGCACGGAGACCACCACUCCUUCAGUAAUAUUUACUGAUGAUCAGAAGGUCUCCACAUAUUUGGUAUACCCACCUUGAUCACAGCUCAAGCACUGUCUAGCAGUGUGGGCGAUAUGGCCCUAAAAUCGUUUUUGUGCUAACUGUGUUCUUUUGUCUAUGACAAAACAUUUAAAUUUUUAAGAAUAUACUACUGAAAUAAAAUGAUCACUAAGUUUUAAUUAGUAUAAAUA
rnacentral:lncRNA from 1 species